AAUCAACGCUGGCGGCGUGCCUAACACAUGCAAGUCGAACGAGAAAGCGGGGGCAACCCUGCGAGUACAGUGGCAGACGGGUGAGUAACACGUGAACAACCUACCCUUGAGUGGGGAAUAACACCGCGAAAGCGGUGCUAAUACCGCAUAAAAUCUUCGGGUCGCAUGACGUGGAGAUCAAAAGCGCAAGUUGCUUGAGGAGGGGUUCGCGGCUGAUUAGCUAGUUGGUGAGGUAACGGCCCACCAAGGCAACGAUCAGUAGCCGGCCUGAGAGGGCGAACGGCCACACUGGAACUGGGACACGGUCCAGACUCCUACGGGAGGCAG
rnacentral:rRNA from 1 species